CAGAUCUCCCGGAUGUGCAAGUGACAUUCUCCAUCUUCUUUUCACCUAGUGUGUGAAUAAUGGGGUGUGAAGAAAGAAAGCAAAAUAUUCUCAUGUCUGUCCUUAACAUCAUAGGAACCUGAUCUUUCUACUGGAAGCCUGGUAAGAAAAAUCCACAUCGUGACACGGAAGAGAUGGAGGAAGAAGAGAAAACAAAAGGAGAGGACAACACUGGGGAGAAUUCUCAGCACAUUGGCGGUAGCCUUUCAAUUCCAGCGCUGAAGCAACAGACUGAGAGGAAGUGAA